GACGAACGCUGGCGGCGUGCUUAACACAUGCAAGUCGAACGAAGUGGCGAACGGGUGAGUAACGCGUAAUCAACCUGCCCUUCAGAGGGGGACAACAGUUGGACACGACUGCUAAUACCCCAUACUGAAGGAGGGGAUUGCGUCGGAUUAGCUAGUUGGGGGGGGAACGGCCCACCAAGGCGAUGAUCAGUAGCCGGUUUGAGAGGAUGAACGGCAAAAUUGGGACUGAGACACGGCCAAGACUCCUACGGGAGGCAGCAGUGGGGAAUCUUCCGCAAUGGACGAAAGGCUGACGGAGCAACGCCGCGUGAGUGAUGACGGCCUUCGGGUUGUAAAGCUCUGUUAAUCGGGACGCGGUACCGGAAUAGAAAGCCACGGCUAACUACGUGCCAGCAGCCCCGGUAAUAC
rnacentral:rRNA from 1 species